UAUUAUUAUUAUUAUUAUUAUUAUUAUUAUUAUUAAUACCCCAUUCUAUAUCUCCAAAAAGGAUCCUUGUAUCUGCAGCACCGAAUCCAUGGUUUUGUUUAUCUACACCCAACAAAAUAAAUCCUUUCUAAGCAUUUCAUGUCAUUCAGUAAACCUUUAUGGUAUUCUUGGGUAAGUCUUCCUUUAUGUCAAUAGAAUUCACUAUUUUCUAUGGUUUUGCAUAUCCAUGUGAACUCCAGGAGCAUGUCCUCCACUACGAUCAUACUGUACUUUGACAUUUUUAUUUAUAUCUUUGAUGUCUAAAUUUCAGUCUUAUAAUAUAGAUAUCUGGUUGAUUUUUUAAAUCAUUGUUGCGAAAAAAAAAUCUAAGCGGGAGGUCUUGCCUAAAACAGAGGAUUGCCUUAUGUAUGUUUUUAAAGUAUAUAUCCAUUUAACAGCAUUAAACUAUCUGCUGUUGCCAAAGCUCAAAUUGGAAUGUUCUGGGAAAGAUAAUUUAAUUUUUAGUGGCUGGAUCUGUGUCAGCAGUUGUAAUUUCAACACUUCCUGGGGAGAGUCUAUCAGUGAUUAUUCUACACGUACAGCAAAAUGUAGCAGUAAAUCUCUCAUUCUUUCCAAAUCCCCUUUUCUCUCUCAUAGAAAUGUGUGAUAUUUUCCUUGUUUGGCCAGUGUCAGAGUGUUUACACUGGCAUCCCCUCAUUCUAAACCCUGCCUUGAAUUUUAAAAAGAAUCCAACUGCUUCAGGAGGCCUUUUGUUUUCCAAGCAUGUGUUUUUUGUUUUUUGUUUUUCUGAUUACAUUCAACUUUUGGGAUUCAACAGCUUUCUCAAUGCAGGUAGAAUGUGGGGGUUAAAACAAAACAAAAACAAAAAAAUGAUUACAGUGUCUUGAACAGAAUGUAGACACCACAGCCCUUUAUCAUAUUUCUCUUUACAAUUAUUAGAUGGAUUUUUUUUUAAAAAAAAGAGGAAUAGGAAAUCAGCUGGGCCAAAGCACUUUUGGCCUUUCAAUACUUACACAGUGGUGCAAAACUCUAUUUGUAGAUAUUAAAUAUACCCUGCGUGCUUGAGAGUGGACAGAAUUUGGAAAAGUUGUUUUCCUGGGACGAGAAAGUCCAAAGUUCCUCGGCCAGGGUAGAGUGAGCCACUGGUCGAUUGGAUGGAUGAUCCUGUAGCUUACAAAAACCCAAACCCAGGGAGGAAUUGAGAGUUGGAUAGCACCAACCUGCACAUAAAUGGGUUUGGGAUUGAAACCUAGGCAAAGGAACAAGAAUAAAGGGUAGCAUGAUGACCAUCAGAGAGAAAAAAUAACAGUGGACAAAUCAUCCAUUGGGAAACAUACAUUUGCAAACAUGCAGCUAAUUUAUUGAUAAUCAAUAUAAACUUUGGCACCAAAGAAACAAUUACAGAUUGAAGGAGGGAGGCAUUUCUGAUAAUAUGGGGAAAUUACAGUUAUACAAGAUAAGCAAAAGGUCAUAGGAUAAAAAGGGAAAACACCUACAGCCAGAAGGAAAGAGGGUACAGAAUGGUAAUGGGAAGAAUGAAAGAAAUACAGUAUGUCCAUAUUUUAUGUGCCAUCGGGUUGACUCCAGUUUAUGGAAGCCUUAUCACUGAGUUCUCUGUGCAAGAUUUAUUCAGAAGACACCUGCUACUGCCUUCCUCUAAAGUUGAGAAAGUGUGGGUUGCCUCUACUCAUCCAGUGGGUUUGGAUUAUGGAGCAAGGAUGAACUCCAGUCUCUCUCAGUCCAACAAUCACACCAUUACAUCAAACUGGUUCUCUAUCUGAACAACACAGAAACUGGAACACAUUAUGUAGAUAAGAUACCUGAGUUAGGAGUGGCAAAAACAAAAUGUUAAGAAUCUGAAUUUAAAAUAAUGUAAGGGCAGUUUAGUUGUCAUAUUUGUGGAACACUUCAUUUUAAAGAGUUCAGAGUGGCAUAUAAAAGAUAUGCAAAAAAGUUAUAUGCAAGUUCUUAAUAUUCAUGGAAACUCGUAUGCUUUCUUUUUGUGUGCAUGUAUGAGAAUAAUCUGACUGCAGAUAACUCUGCAAAAGUCAUCCUGUUAUAGUAGUUAGGCUUAAAUCCAAUGAGCUCCAAAUAGAGUAGAUAUAUUGAGUCAACUGAAAGUUGGUAAGUCAAGAUUUGUGCAAGUUACAUUGAUUCAUUAGGCAUAUUCCAUCUGGAAUGAACAAUGGAAUAUAAGACCAAAGGAAUUAACAGAACCACACACAAAGAAGUUAUUGUAGUUGUUAACUGCCAUCAAUUUGACUGACUCAUGCCAACUCUAUGAAAAAUGAGACCUCCAAAUCAUAAUGUUAUCAGCCACCCAACUCAGGGUGCAGGCUCAGGGAUGAAAUUUCCUUGACUGAGGGCCCUUCCACACAGCCAUAUAACCCAGAAUAUCAAGGCAGAAAAUCCCACAAUAUCUGCUUUGAACUGGAUUAAUCUGAGUCCACACUGCCAUAUAUUCCAGUUCAAAGCAGAAAAUGUGGGAUUUUAGUGAGCUGUGUGGAAGGGGCCUGAGUCUACCUACUUGUAAUGCAUCUUACCCAUGAACCAUGUGUCCAUAGAAAACUUCUUGAAUGCCAUGGUUCAGUUGAAUUUAUUUUCUUCCUAUAUCUUUCUUCAUGAAUUAUACCAGGUGGGAAAGCUUAGCUUAAUCUGGAGUCUUGGCUUGUUUGUCUUCUAACAAACCAGAGGUUGAGGCCAGAGUCUGAAGUUGGUUUACAGAUCCAAGAUUGAUAGUAAAACGUAAAGCCAAAGUCCUUGUUCAGAUGUUACUCAAAUGUUUUAUAUCAGACCUUUUCUCUCACUCAGUUUAGACCAGGCAUGGGCAAACUUGGGUCCUCCAGGUGUUUUGGACUUCAACUCCCAUAAUUCCUAACAGCCGGUAGGAAUUUUUAACCCAUGUUGCACUCUGCCUCGAGCCACAAGGAGAGGUUGGCAACAAAUAUAUUUAUUAUUACUAUUAUUAUUAUUAUUUCACUCUGAAUUCCACAACUAAGUCCCUCAACUGUCUUUUCCCAACUGUUACCAAUGAACUUCCCUUCCUUUUGAAAAUUCCUCCUGUCACUCACAGAAGCCCCUCCCUCACCUCGCAAGAGUUCUCUGCACUGGGAUUGGCUGGCUCUAGUGUUUCAACCGUUGCUUAGCAACCUCUCAGUGCCAUGCUACAAUGCCACAAUCCCCAUUUCCCCCACCAGACUGGGGCUGAGAGGAAUUGAGACUGACCAACAACUGGAGGGCCAUAAUUUCCCUAACCUUGUUCUAGGAAAAUAAUGACUACUGAUCAGCCAUAAUCCAUGACAAUUCUGAUUUAGGGUAUUGUAUUACUUCAAUAGAGAAAUUUUUCAUAAGGGGCAUUUUUCACUUGAGCUUAACCAAGAGGUUGAGAAGAUGAAAUGAUGAUCACAACUAUUUAUGGGUAGAAAAAGAUAUGGUUUUAGCUAUUAUGGGAAAACUGUCCCAUAUUUUAUUGUGUAAAGGAAAAGUUAAACCAGAUGCAUUUUAUUUUAAUGAGUACCCAUUUAUCCAAUAUGUUAAUGAUGAAAACAUGGAUACUAGUGUUUCAGAUAAACACAGGGUAGAAAAAGAAAAAAAUAAGUGCAGUUUGAAGGAGGAGGACUAAGGGCCCUUCCAGGCGGCUGAAUAAAAUCCCACAUUAUUUGAACUAGAAUAUAUGGCAGUGUAGACUCAGAUAAACCAGUUCAAUGCAGAUAUUGUGGAAUUUUCUGCCUUGAUAUUCUGGAUUAUAUGGCUGUGUGGAAGGGCCCUAAUUUGGAUAAUCUGGACUAUUCUCUCUUGUUGUGGGAUCUGUUAUUAGAAUGCUGUGAUUUAUAUUGUGAUGGGAGGUCUGGACACUUUCUGUUGUUCUGCUUGUCCUCCUAGUAGAAUUAUUGUUGAGGUGGGAUGAAUCACAGACGAGGGGAAUAUUGUUUAUUUUGUUUGAUGCUGUGCUUUGCAAAUUAAUUAUCCAAAAUGCUUGGAAACAGAAGUGUUUUGGAUUUUGGACUUUCGAAUACCUAUGUUUUCAUGCAUAUGCUUAAUGAAAUAUCUUGUAGUUGGGACCCAAGUGUGAACAUGAAAUUCAUUUAUGUUUCAUAUAAAUAUUAUAAAUGCAGAACCAAAGCUACUUUUAUUCAGUGUUUAUAAAGAUUUUGUGCAUACACUGAACCAUAAGAAAGCGGAGAUGUUAGUAUUUCAGACACUCGUGGAUAAUUUUGGAUUUUGGAAUAUUUGGGGUUUGGGAAGAGGAUGAUCAACAUAUACAGUAGAGUCUCACUUAUCCAACAUAAACGGGCUGGCAGAACGUUGGAUAAGCGAAUAUGUUGGAUAAUAAGGAGGGAUUAAGGAAAAGCCUAUUAAACAUCAAAUUACAUUAUGAUUUUACAAAUUAAGCACCAAAACACCAUGUUAUACUACAAAUUUGACAGAAAAAAUAGUUCAAAACGCAGUAAUGCUAUGUAGUAAUUACUGUAUUUACGAAUUUAGCACCAAAAUAUCACAAUGUAUUGAAAACAUUGACUACAAAAAUGCGUUGGAUAAUCCAGAACCUUGGAUAAGCGAGUGUUGGAUAAGUGAAACUCUACUGUACCUGUAUUUACUCAAGUCAAAUGCACCAUCAAAUCUAAUGCGCACCUCAAUUUUCAAAACCCUGAAACCAAAAAAAAAGAGGAUUUUCUGUCAAAUAUAAUGUGCAGCAGUAAAAAGUGCACUCUUUGUAAUGUAGCCAUUACAGUUGCUGCCUGCUUAGAAUUCUUUCUUUAAAAACAGAAGUGUUAGAACACCAAAGCUUUCAGCAAUGGAAAACAAAACCUUGGGGUGCGUCUACACUGUAUAAUGUAGUCACUUUAACUGCCCUGGUUCAAUGCUGUGGAGUCAUGGGGGCUGUAGUUUCACAAGGUUUUGAACCUUUUCUGCCAAAAAAUGCUGCUGCCUCACCAAACUACAAAUCCCAGGAUUGGAUAGCAUUAAGCUAUGACAAUUAAAUUACAGAUGAGGUCCUUCAAAUAGGAGCUCCAGGUGCUACUGAAGCAGCUUCCCUUUUUGCUUUGGCCCAGCAAUAAGAUUACCUACCGUAUUAUGCGAAUCUAAUGCGCAUCCUAAUUUUGGUAAGGUAAUUUAACCAAAACUGGUAAGCAUUAGAGUCAAGUAAAUAUGUUUUUUUAAAAAAACAAACGCUCAGGGGAUAUUCUUAUCUGUGUGAUUUUGGUAACAUUGGCCAUUUGUGUUUGAUGUGAUACCUUCAUAAAAUCAUGACACGCAGGACCUCUUAACUCCCCACAGAAAUUAGGCAAGCCCCUACUCUGUCCUUCCAUAUGGACCUGAAAUCCUGGUGGUUCCAGCAGGUUUUCAAGGAUGAUUAGUCCCUAGGCCCUUCCCUUGGCCAUUGGCUAGGAGCCUGCUCUGCACUUUAUCCACUUCCCCGGCCCUAUGAUACUCUGUUGCACUAACCUUUUGCCUAGCCCUUGCAUAGCUGGCCGUGUCUAUUCUAUAAUUCCGACCAUUGGUAUUUUGAACCCGUCUGAUGGAGUAAAUUGAAACUAGAUUUUAAAUUUUUGUGGUUGUUUUAGUAGGAUUGUUUAUUUUUGUUUUAUGAUGUUUAAUUUUGUUGUAUGGUUUUCCCUUUUGGUAAUUGAAUGUUUUCUUUAUGUUGGGUCCUCUUGGGGAGAUAGGGUGGGAUAUAAAUACAGUUUUAUUAUAUUAUAGUAUUAUUAUUAUUAACUAUAGAAAAAAGCUGGGUGCUUGCAGACAAUUUGUUGGGGUUUUGUUAUUGACUUUCAAGUUGACUUAAACUUAUUAUUACACUAUAAUAGGGUUUUCUUGGAAAGAUUCAUUCUGAGUAUACUUUGCCCAAGUUUUUCCAUAGGUAAGGGUUCAAACUUUAGUCUCCCAAGGUCAUACUUCAGCACUCAAAUCACUAUACUGUGUUAGCAAGUAAGAACAUUGCAACUUGGAGACUAUACUGUGAUAAAAACCACAGCAGUUUCUCAUCUUUGAUUUCUGGCAGUUUCAGGAAUGUGGUAUGUAUAUCUGUAUUUGUGUAUAAACCUGCCAGAAUUUGUGCAAUGGCAAAACACAUGGUUUGCAUGAAGAUGGCUUCCACUUCAAUCCCUGGCAUCAUCAGCGUUCAUGAAGGCAAGGAGAAGGUCUGUGACCCUUGCAUGCCGGACAGCCAGGAGGGGAUCCUACUGGAAAUACGUGCAGUGACAGCAUAAUAACUUAUUCCUUUGGAUUUGCCUUCUAUGUAAACAGUAUCAGUGAUCACAUUUCAUUGUUAUUGAAGAAGGAGAUAGUUCUGGAUAGAAGCCCAUAUGUAAGUCAAUGAGUAGGCUUGACACAAGGGGGAGGGAGGGAACUUUUUCACCUUGUACUGAAGUGACUGAUUUCAGGUCUUUGUGUGUUUUCUUUUGUCUGUUUUUUUUCAUUUGUGUUAUCAGCGGAAACUUAAAACAACUUCAACAGCCCAACUGGACAGAGGUCUAGGGAAACAAGCCAGAGCAAAGAAAGUAUUGCAACCACUUUUAAUCACCAUCAAGUGACUCUUAUAAAUAUUUGUUUUUACAUAUACACAGACUCUGCAUCAAAGCCUAGUAUGCGGUCAUUCUUGUGACCAAGAAAUAAAAUAAGUGAAAAACUUACAAGAUCUCCGGUGCUUGAAGAUGUUGUAAUUAAUAGCAAGCAAAAGUACCUGGAGAGGAGAUGGUUGGAGGGAGGAAGCCUGCCAAAGUUUAGCAAACACAAUAAUCAAUCAAAAUAAAUCUUUAUAACAUU